rnacentral:misc_RNA from 1 species
AAAGAUCGCAGCCUGCGGCAGCUCCUACAGGGGAGUACAUUCCUGUAGGAGCUGCCGCAGGCUGCGAUCUUU